rnacentral:rRNA from 1 species
CGGACUUAGAAGAGCUUGCUCUUUUAAGUUAGUGGCGAACGGGUGAGUAACACGUGAGCAACCUGCCUGACAGAGUGGGAUAACGUUUGGAAACGAACGCUAAUACCGCAUACGCCGUUUUUACCGCAUGGUAGAAAUGGGAAAGGAGUAAUCCGCUGACAGAUGGGCUCGCGCCUGAUUAGAUAGUUGGAGAGGUAAUGGCUUACCAAGUCUACGAUCAGUAGCCGGACUGAGAGGUUGAUCGGCCACAUUGGGACUGAGACACGGCCCAGACUCCUACGGGAGGCAGCAGUGGGGAAUAUUGGGCAAUGGGCGAAAGCCUGACCCAGCGACGCCGCGUGAGGGAAGAAGGUUUUCGGAUUGUAAACCUCUGUCUUCAGGGACGAAAAUGACGGUACCUGAGGAGGAAGCCACGGCUAACUACGUGCCAGCAGCCGCGGUAAUACGUAGGUGGCAAGCGUUGUCCGGAAUUACUGGGUGUAAAGGGAGCGUAGGCGGGAAUGCAAGUUGAAUGUGAAAUCUACCGGCUCAACCGGUAGGCUGCGUUCAAAACUGCAAUUCUUGAGUGAAGUAGAGGCAGGCGGAAUUCCUAGUGUAGCGGUAGAAUGCGUAGAU